GACGAACGCUGGCGGCGUGCCUAAUACAUGCAAGUUGAGCGCUGAAGGUUGGUACUUGUACCGACUGGAUGAGCAGCGAACGGGUGAGUAACGCGUGGGGAAUCUGCCUUUGAGCGGGGGACAACAUUUGGAAACGAAUGCUAAUACCGCAUAAAAACUUUAAACACAAGUUUUAAGUUUGAAAGAUGCAAUUGCAUCACUCAAAGAUGAUCCCGCGUUGUAUUAGCUAGUUGGUGAGGUAAAGGCUCACCAAGGCGAUGAUACAUAGCCGACCUGAGAGGGUGAUCGGCCACAUUGGGACUGAGACACGGCCCAAACUCCUACGGGAGGCAGCAGUGGGGAAUCUUCGGCAAUGGACGAAAGUCUGACCGAGCAACGCCGCGUGAGUGAAGAAGGUUUUCGGAUCGUAAAACUCUGUUGGUAGAGAAGAACGUUGGUGAGAGUGGAAAGCUCAUCAAGUGACGGUAACUACCCAGAAAGGGACGGCUAACUACGUG
rnacentral:rRNA from 1 species